rnacentral:lncRNA from 1 species
AAACUUAUAACUUCUUUUAAUUUUGAGAAAAAUGUGACAAGACCUACCCCGAAUUGCUCAGAAUCCAUGACAAACCAUGUGGUUUUUUCGACAUCUAUUCGAUGACGGGCCUACUUACUAACAAUAUCCUCUUUUAUAAAAACACAGGAAGAGAGGGUCGAGACUCUUUGCCGAAAUUUCGGCAGAGUCUCCCCUGAAAAACGGACUUUUC